UGGGGAAUUUUGCGCAAUGGGCGGAAGCCUGACGCAGCAACGCCGCGUGCGGGAUGAAGGCCUUCGGGUCGUAAACCGCUUUCAGCAGGGACGAUUAUGACGGUACCUGCAGAAGAAGCUCCGGCUAACUACGUGCCAGCAGCCGCGGUAAUACGUAGGGAGCGAGCGUUAUCCGGAUUCAUUGGGCGUAAAGCGCGCGUAGGCGGAUGCCUAAGCGGGACCUCUAACCCGGGGGCUCAACCCCCGGCCGGGUCCCGAACUGGGCGUCUCGAGUUCGGUAGGGGCAAGUGGAAUUCCAUGUGUAGCGGUGGAAUGCGCAGAUAUAUGGAAGAACACCGAUGGCGAAGGCAGCUUGCUGGGCCGUAACUGACGCUGAGGUGCGAAAGCGUGGGGAGCGAACAGGAUUAGAUACCCUGGUA
rnacentral:rRNA from 1 species